GCUCUGAUAGAUGACCCGUCUGCUGCAUCAGAUCUGCAUGGACGGAGAGUGUCAAAACUCCAAUGUGAUUCUUUUCUGCGACAUGUGCAACCUGGCCGUGCACCAGGAUUGCUACGGUGUCCCAUACAUACCUGAAGGGCAGUGGUUGUGUCGCCGCUGUCUGCAGAGCCCUUCCAGAACGGUUGAGUGCGUCCUCUGCCUCAGCCAGGGCGGCGCCUUCAAGCAGACGGACAAAAACAACUGUGCCCACGUCGUCUGUGCUCUCUGGAUUCCAGAGGUCACGUUCGCCAAUACUGUCUUCUUGGAAUCGAUUGACUCGAUAGAGACCAUCCCGCCCGCUGGAAGCCCACUUGCUACAUUUGCAAACAGAGAGGGCUCGGCGCUUGCAUCCAGUGCCACAAAAACAACUGCUUUUUAGCAUUUCAUGUUACCUGUGCUCAGCAAGCUGGUCUUCACUUGAAAAUGGACACAGUGCGAGAUGAUGGUGCGACCGCACUGGCGAGCCUUCUGUACUGAUUCAGAAAAUUGCCUAUUGUGACACAAUCAUACUCCUGCACACGCUGAAACGCGUCCAAGAUUAAACGGAAAAGAAAACAUUUGACUUCGCAAAGAAAACUCCAGGAAAAAAUGAAACAUAAGCUAGGAACUUGUUUGGGAAAAAGAAGACGACUUCUGUGCCCAUAAUAUCAAUUCCAACCAUUCUCCUGCAGAAAAGAAUUCAAGAAAUUGCUUCUCAUCAUACGGUGGUGCGCUGAUAUCAGUUUAUCCAGCGACUCAUUGCCUACUGGACACUGAAAAGGCAGUAUCGGAGCGGCGUACCACGUCUCCAAACACCAAACUCGUCUAAUUCGUCAAGAAAAAUGGAACCAGCCUCUGCCCCUUUUGAUCAAGUAAAGCGCUCACAGUAAGAUUAGCGUAAACUAAUUAACUGUAUAUUGCAAAUAACAUGAACGAGUUUGCAUUCCUGGAAUGGAUUUGGUGGUGUGGAAUUUUGUUAAAAAAGUCAUUCAUUAAAAAAUAUUUGGUUGCGUACUGUGUAAAAACGAAUGGUUUGGACACGUUUUAAAUUACAUCUGUCUUUCUGUUCAAGCGCGAAUCAACAAAAAAGACUAGCUUGAAGAAAUAUAUUGAAAAUCAGGAGCGGUCGUUGGCGGAAUAGCACAAGGUAUCCUGACAGCAUCUCCGCCAGGACUUGAAACCACUACCAGACCGAUGAGGAGCGUGCGCAAUAAAACCCUAUCAGCAGCUCCCAAAAGGCGAGAAUCAACCGCGUCGGUUAGCCUCUUGGAAACCAAAAGAGUAACCAGGAAAAGGACGCCAAGCAAGCGUCUUGAAGAUGCACCACCGUCUCCGAAGAGGCGGGCCAGACAGACGGGCUCUCCUUCUAGUGAUGUGAGACUACAAGUGUUUCAAUAUCCAUCAUGAGAGAUUAUUUAGGAUUCACAAUUACUUCUUCAUUUUAAAGCUAUACUAUACUGUAAGUAUAAAAGUAAAAAAAAUGAAAGUUAAGAUAAUGAUUGAAAAAAGGGUCCAUUAAAUCUUCCUCUUUAUUUUUACUAAACCUCUCAUCUAUAUGUCGAGUAGCUCGUGAGACUAAAUCGUAUGUUUCAGUAAAAAUCUUUAAAAUUUUUGAACGUGUAAAAGUGUUAAUUGUACUACAACGAUGUCUUAACCAUACAUCAAUCAGCCCAGAAACUUGAAGUCAUAAUAAUACAAUACGUACGGAAAAAAUAAUUAAUUUGAAUUAAUAUUUUCUAAAAUAAAUCUUAAAUUAAGCAGCCCUCAUGCAUUAAAAAUCGAGAUUUGAUUAACACAAGUAAACAUAGAUUAGACAGAAAAUAUGGAUGGUGACGCGUAAGAAAAACAAGAAAAUCUGAGCACAAGCUGGUAUAACUUGAAAAUUUAUUUCACAGCUUCCAUAACAUAAUGCGGCAUAGUUGAAUGUACAUAAAAUUAAGUGUGCAAAAAUAUAUGAAAAACUUGUAGUUGAAUAAUAUGGAACAGAAAAUACAGUGAAUAAUAGAUAACUAUGAAGUAGAACAUAAAUCAAGCCCAUUUUAACAAAUAAAGAGACUCAUAAAAUUAUGAUCAGAUUUCACCUCUG